rnacentral:other from 1 species
UGUUCUCUGCUUUGUGCGACCACUGACCCGCGAUCUUUGAGCCUAUAAGACAUACCCGCAGGGACCGAUCGUCAGGUGAUGUUGUGCAGGUCUGCAACUCGGCAGAAAGCCUGAUUCGCCCCGAGAAGUCCCAUCUUGAACCUCUGGUUCAAGAUUACGGUCAGCGCCGGCAUUGCGGAGAACAC